GACGAACGCUGGCGGCGUGCUUAACACAUGCAAGUCGAACGGAAAGGCCCUGCUUUUGUGGGGUGCUCGAGUGGCGAACGGGUGAGUAACACGUGAGUAACCUGCCCUUGACUUUGGGAUAACUUCAGGAAACUGGGGCUAAUACCGGAUAGGAGCUCCUGCUGCAUGGUGGGGGUUGGAAAGUUUCGGCGGUUGGGGAUGGACUCGCGGCUUAUCAGCUUGUUGGUGGGGUAGUGGCUUACCAAGGCUUUGACGGGUAGCCGGCCUGAGGGGGUGACUGGCCACAUUGGGACUGAGAUACGGCCCAGACUCCUACGGGAGGCAGCAGUGGGGAAUAUUGCACAAUGGGCGGAAGCCUGAUGCAGCAACGCCGCGUGCGGGAUGACGGCCUUCGGGUUGUAAACCGCUUUCGCCUGUGACGAAGCGUGAGUGACGGUAAUGGGUAAAGAAGCACCGGCUAACUACGUG
rnacentral:rRNA from 1 species